GAUGUUGUUUCCUGAACGCUAGACAGGACGCGUUUACCUCAGCUCACGUGAUCCAACAGCUCCUGGCUCUGAGACGGCGCUGGAGUCAGCAGGACCAUCGGUGUGGAAACAUCUGCCCUCACCUGAACUCAUUUACUCAGGAAAAACACACAGCGAGCUUUGAUUGUGUCCCGUCAGCUGCAGUUUUCCAGGCCUCGUUCGGGUUUUUGCUGCUUUUCAUCCAGCUGGAGUGGAGCGUUUUGGUUCCUGCUGGCUAAAUUACAAAACACUAAAUCAAGAUGACUGCUGACAUCAACUGGAAAUGACACUGUUGACGAACUAAUGGAAA